rnacentral:rRNA from 1 species
AUACGGAGGGGGCAAGCGUUGUUCGGAAUCACUGGGCGUAAAGCGCGCGUAGGCGGCCGAGUCAGUCGGGCGUGAAAGCCCAGGGCUCAACCCUGGAAGUGCGUCCGAUACUGCUCGGCUUGAGUACGGGAGAGGAGAGUGGAAUUCCCAGUGUAGCGGUGAAAUGCGUAGAUAUUGGGAGGAACACCGGUGGCGAAGGCGGCUCUCUGGACCGUUACUGACGCUGAGGUGCGAAAGCUAGGGGAGCAAACGGGAUUAGAAACCCCGGUAGUCC